rnacentral:rRNA from 1 species
GACGGAGGGUGCAAGCGUUGCUCGGAAUUACUGGGCGUAAAGAGCGUGUAGGCGGCCGAUUAAGUCAGUUGUGAAAGCCCUCGGCUCAACCGAGGAAGUGCGACCGAAACUGAUCGGCUGGAGUACGGUAGAGGGAGGCGGAAUUCCCGGUGUAGAGGUGAAAUUUGUAGAUAUCGGGAGGAACACCAGUGGCGAAGGCGGUCUCCUGGACCGAUACUGACGCUGAGACGCGAAAGCGUGGGGAG